CCUACGGGUGGCAACAGUGAGGAAUAUUGGUCAAUGGACGAGAGUCUGAACCAGCCAAGUAGCGUGAAGGAUGACUGCCCUAUGGGUUGUAAACUUCUUUUAUAUGGGAAUAAAAUGUUCCACGUGUGGGAUUUUGUAUGUACCAUAUGAAUAAGGAUCGGCUAACUCCGUGCCAGCAGCCGCGGUAAUACGGAGGAUCCGAGCGUUAUCCGGAUUUAUUGGGUUUAAAGGGAGCGUAGGUGGAUGGUUAAGUCAGUUGUGAAAGUUUGCGGCUCAACCGUAGAAUUGCAGUUGAAACUGGCAGUCUUGAGUACAGUAGAGGUGGGCGGAAUUCGUGGUGUAGCGGUGAAAUGCUUAGAUAUCACGAAGAACUCCGAUUGCGAAGGCAGCUCACUGGACUGCAACUGACGCUGAGGCUCGAAAGUGUGGGUAGCAAACAGGAUUAGAUACCCUGGUAGUC
rnacentral:rRNA from 1 species